ACUCGAGUGGCGAACGGGUGAGUAACACGUGGGUGAUCUGCCCUGCACUUCGGGAUAAGCCUGGGAAACUGGGUCUAAUACCGGAUAGUACGAUGGUUUGGAUGCCAUUGUGGAAAGUUUUUCGGUGCAAGAUGAGCCCGCGGCCUAUCAGCUUGUUGGUGGGGUAAUGGCCUACCAGGGCGACGACGGGUAGCCGGCCUGAGAGGGUGUACGGCCACAUUGGGACUGAGACACGGCCCAG
rnacentral:rRNA from 1 species